rnacentral:rRNA from 1 species
UACGGAGGGUGCAAGCGUUACUCGGAAUCACUGGGCGUAAAGGACGCGUAGGCUGUUUAGCAAGUCAGAUGUGAAAUCCAAUGGCUCAACCAUUGAACUGCAUUUGAAACUGCUAGACUAGAGUAUGGGAGGGGCAGAUGGAAUUAGUGGUGUAGGGGUAAAAUCCGUAGAUAUCACUAGGAAUACCUAAAGCGAAGGCGAUCUGCUGGAACAUUACUGACGCUAAGGCGUGAAAGCGUGGGGAGCAAACAGG